CAGGUGAGUUUGGGUUUGGAUCACAAAGCAGGGACUGGUUAAAAGCACGUAAAGUAACUCUUGUUAGUAAACGCAUUUCACUUGGGAGAUAUGCAAACAAAAUUUCUUCAAAGCAUCAAUGACAAUCUGCAUACAAUGACAAAAGUGAUGCCUUGAAACAUAUGAAAGAAACCAAUUAAAUCUAAGUGUCAUACAAGAUCUAAUAUCAGUUAAUGAUUCC
rnacentral:misc_RNA from 1 species